rnacentral:rRNA from 1 species
UACGAAGGGGGCUAGCGUUGCUCGGAAUCACUGGGCGUAAAGCGCACGUAGGCGGAUUGUUAAGUCAGGGGUGAAAUCCUGGAGCUCAACUCCAGAACUGCCUUUGAUACUGGCGAUCUUGAGUCCGGGAGAGGUGAGUGGAACUGCGAGUGUAGAGGUGAAAUUCGUAGAUAUUCGGAAGAACACCAGUGGCGAAGGCGGCUCGCUGGGCCGGUACUGACGCUGAGGUGCGAAAGCGUGGGGAGCAAACAGG